AGAACGAACGCUGGCGGCAGGCUUAACACAUGCAAGUCGAACGCGUGUAGCAAUACACGAGUGGCGCACGGGUGAGUAACGCGUGGAUAUCUGCCUUUUGGUUCGGAAUAACCCCGGGAAACUGGGGCUAAUACCGGAUGGUUCCUACGGGAUAAAGAUUUAUCGCCAAAAGAUGAGUCCGCGUACGAUUAGCUAGUUGGUGAGGUAAUGGCUCACCAAGGCGACGAUCGUUAGCUGGUCUGAGAGGACGAUCAGCCACACUGGGACUGAGACACGGCCCAGACUCCUACGGGAGGCAGCAGUGGGGAAUAUUGGACAAUGGGGGCAACCCGUGAUCCAGCCAUGCCGCGUGAGUGAUGAAGGCCUUCGGGUUGUAAAGCUCUUUUGGCGGGGACGAUGAUGACGGUACCCGCGAGAAUAAGCCCCGGCUAACCUUCGUGCCAGCAGCCGC
rnacentral:rRNA from 1 species